UACGUAGGGUGCAAGCGUUGUCCGGAAUUAUUGGGCGUAAAGAGCUCGUAGGCGGUUUGUUGCGUCGGCUGUGAAAUCCCGAGGCUCAACCUCGGGUCUGCAGUCGAUACGAGCAAACUAGAGUGUUGCAGGGGAGACUGGAAUUCCUGGUGAUAGCGGUGAAAUGCGCAGAUAUCAGGAGGAACACCGGUGGCGAAGGCGCUGCUCUGGGCCGAAACUGACGCUGGAGGAAGCGAAAGCGUGGGUAGCAAACAGG
rnacentral:rRNA from 1 species